rnacentral:rRNA from 1 species
GACGAACGCUGGCGGCGUGCUUAACACAUGCAAGUCGAACGGAAAGGCCCCCACUUUUUUGGUGGGGGUGCUCGAGUGGCGAACGGGUGAGUAACACGUGGGUGAUCUGCCCUGUACUUCGGGAUAAGCUUGGGAAACUGGGUCUAAUACCGGAUAGGACCAUGGUUUAGUGUCUCAUGGUGGAAAAAUUAUUGUUUUGGUGCAGGGUGGGCUCGCGGCCUAUUAGCUUGUUGGUGGGGUAAUGGCCUACCAAGGCGUCGACGGGUAGCCGGCCUGAGAGGGUGGACAGACUGAUUGGGACUGAGGUACGGCCCAGACUCGUACGGGAGGCAGCAGGGGGGAAUAUUGAACAAUGGGCGCAAGCCUGAUGCAGCGACGCCGCGUGGGGGAUGACGGCCUUCGGGUUGUAAACUCCUUUCGUUAGGGACGAAGCCGCACCUUUUUUGGGUGUGGUGACGGUACCUUUGUUAAGAAGCACCGGCUAACUACGUG